ACUGCUGUGUAUCAUGUGAAAGUGGCAUGGUAUCUCUAAGGGAGUGAAAUGUGAAGCAAAUACUUGAUAUCCAGGAAAAGUGACUUUCAGGUAUAAAAGAAACGAAAUGUCAGCUGGGCGACGGUGGCUCACGCCUCUAAUCCAAACUACUGAGGAGGCUGAGAUAUGGGGAGCAGGGU